GACGAACGCUGGCGGCGUGCUUAACACAUGCAAGUCGAACGGAAAGGCCCCCUUGUGGGGUACUCGAGUGGCGAACGGGUGAGUAACACGUGAGUAACCUACCCUUGACUUUGGGAUAACUUCAGGAAACUGGGGCUAAUACCGGAUAGGAGCUCCUGCUGCAUGGUGGGGGUUGGAAAGUUUCGGCGGUUGGGGAUGGACUCGCGGCUUAUCAGCUUGUUGGUGGGGUAGUGGCUCACCAAGGCUUUGACGGGUAGCCGGUCUGAGAGGGUGACCGGCCACAUUGGGACUGAGAUACGGCCCAGACUCCUACGGGAGGCAGCAGUGGGGAAUAUUGCACAAUGGGCGGAAGCCUGAUGCAGCAACGCCGCGUGCGGGAUGACGGCCUUCGGGUUGUAAACCGCUUUCGCCUGUGACGAAGCGUGAGUGACGGUAAUGGGUAAAGAAGCACCGGCUAACUACGUG
rnacentral:rRNA from 1 species